UACGGAGGGUGCGAGCGUUGUCCGGAAUCACUGGGCGUAAAGGGCGCGUAGGCGGCUCAUGAAGGCUGUGGUGAAAGUCCGGGGCUCAACCUCGGAUCGGCCGUGGCGACUCGUGGGCUGGAGCACUGUAGAGGCGGGUGGAAUUCCUGGUGUAGCGGUGAAAUGCGCAGAUAUCAGGAGGAACACCAAUGGCGAAGGCAGCUCGCUGGGACGGUACUGACGCUGAGGCGCGAAAGCGUGGGGAGCAAACAGG
rnacentral:rRNA from 1 species